rnacentral:lncRNA from 1 species
GCCUAAGAAAUAUCAAAACCGUUUUAUAAAACAACCAAAGAUACCGGCAUGUCACCCUCACGCAGAUGUCGCUACUCGCUACUCACUAUGGGUAGUCUUCCCGAGGACAGAAUAGAUUCAUUCUCCGCGUCUCUCCUUGUUUCUUGCGAUGUGAGGCAUAGGCAACUCCAGUUGAAAUUCCGGUACUUUGGCUGCAAAGGUACACCAAAGUCCAUCGAGGAACAGCAAACAAGUAUACUAAGUACUAACCUGGAAAAUAAACAAUUAACCUGUCACAACUUGAGUUUUUACCUGGAAACUUACGGGUUGACCAUUGGCACCACAGUUAAGAAGCAAAGCUGAGAACAAGGAGAGGCCUAUAUAAGAGUAAGCGUAAGAGUAAUGGGAUGUGAUUCUCAACAAUCAGCACAAAUGAACUGUAAACCUUCCAGGCUCCAAGUAAUGGAGAAAGCACCUCGAGCCAUCCUCUUCCUGUUACUCAUUGUCGGUUUUGGCGUAGCCCAAAAUACCACCAGCAAAGGAGAUGAAUUCCAUGUCGGAGUGAUCCUCGACCUGGGCACGCUGGCAGGAAAAGUGGCACGAACAAGCAUUUCAUUGGCCGUUGAAGAUUUCUACUCGGUCCACCGAAACCACCGCACAAAGCUCGUUCUGCACAUUAGGGACUCCAUGGGCAGCGAUGUUCAGGCUGCCUCUGCAGGUAUGUCAUAUGUGCUCUGCCUCUGCAGUAUGAAACCAAAGAACCAUUUUUGCUAUUUCCUAUUUAUAAACUAUAUAGAUAAAGCAUACUUCGCAUUUGACAUCUUAACUAGAGGCAUACAUAGACUAGCGGCUGGGCAGUUUCUUAUAUGUAGUUGGAAAAAAAAGUUACUAUGUCCUGUUAUGAUAAUGUUUCUACACUAUAACACCGGCACUAUCUAACCGAAGUUUUCUUGUGCAAUUUCAAAAGCUAUUGAAUUACUGGAGAAUUACAAAGUGCAAGCCAUCGUUGGUCCCCAGAAAUCAUCAGAAGUUCUAUUCAUAUCUAAUAUUGGAAAUAUAACCCAAGUCCCCAUAGUAUCCUUCACAGCAACAAGCCCCUCUCUUACUUCAGAUAGUAUGCCAUAUUUUGUGCGUGCAACACUGAAUGACUCAGCUCAGGUCAAUAGCAUUGCCUUGCUUAUAAAAGCCUAUGGAUGGAGAGAAGUGGUGCCAGUAUAUGAAGAUACUGACUAUGGGAGAGGCAUUCUACCAUCCCUCAUUGAAGCACUACAAGAAAUUGAUGCCCGUGUUCCGUAUCGCAGUGUCACCCCUUCAUCAGCAACAAGUGAAAUCAUUACCCAAGAACUCUAUAAGUUGAAGGCAAUGCAGACAAGAGUAUUUAUUGUUCAUAUGUCACCCACUAUGACUUCUCUUUUUUUUACAAAAGCCAAAGAGGCAGGGAUGAUGAACAAAGGAUUUGUGUGGAUUACCACAGAUGGAGUAGCAAACAUCAUCGACUCACUCGACCCAAGUGUCAUUGAGGCAAUGAAUGGUGUACUAGGAGUGAGGUAUUAUGUUCCCAAAUCACAAGAACUUGAUAGCUUCACCAUAAGAUGGAACAGAAUGUACCAACGGGAUAAUCCAGAUGAAUCACCCUUUAAUAAAUUAAGCAUUGUUGGACUAUGGGGCUAUGAUAUGAUCAGGGCAUUAGCACAAGCAGCGGAAAAGGCUGGGAUCUCCAGUGUUACAAAUAAGCAACCACAGUCCAUUAAAAACUCCACAUGUUUGGACUCCAUGGUUAUUUCCACAAAUGGCCCUGAUCUCUUAACAGCAAUUGUACAAAAUAAGUUCAGAGGUAUAAGUGGAGACUUCGACCUUACAAACAGACAGCUUACAGUUUCUGUGUUCCAAAUAAUAAAUGUGGUUGGGAGAGGUUGGAGAGAAAUCGGGUUUUGGACUGUGAAUAGUGGACUUUCACGGCAGUUCAAUCAAACUGGCUUGAAAAUAACAGGACCAGCCUUAAUGAUUGAUCUAAAUCCAGUAAUCUGGCCAGGAGAGUCAACCGAAAUACCAAGAGGCUGGGAAAUUCCUACAAUUGGUAAGAAGCUUAGAGUCGGUGUGCGCACAAGCAUCUAUCCAGAGUUUAUAGAGACAUUCAGAGAUCAUGCCACAGGUGAAACAAGAGCGAGCGGCCUUUCAGUUGAAAUAUUUGAGGAGGCAGUAAAGAGGCUACCUUUUGCACUUACUUAUGAGUACCUAGCAUUUGACACAGCUGAUCCACGUAGUAAGGGGAGCUACGAUGAUUUUGUUAACCAAGUUUAUCUUCAGGUAAGACAUACUUUAUCAAACAUAUAGCUUCCAAUAUCUCAAUCUGCCAUCUACGGAAAUUAAACAUGCACUCUUAAGAAAAAUAACUCUUAGUUCAAACAUACCAGAUAUUUGUAAGUUCCGCAUUUCCAUCCAGUGUUCUAUUCUGCUUUCAACUGAAAGCAAGCUGCUUUUUUAUUUUAUACAAAACGAUGUUAGCCAGAAAAUCAAAAGUCUGUUGCAUGCUACAUAUGUCCUUUCAUUAAACAAUUGAGAUUCUAGUGUACAAUCAAUCUUAAAAAGUAGCUCUUCUUUUUUAUUAUUUCUCAAAUAGAUAAAGCUGACUGCUGCCUUUGCAGAAAUAUGACAUAGCAGUUGCAGAUACUACUAUAAGAUGCAACAGAUCAUUGUUUGUCGACUUCACUGUACCAUACACAGAAUCUGGAGUAGGGAUGAUUGUUCCAGUCAAGGAAAACAUGAUCAAGAAUAUGUGGAUUUUCUUGAAACCAUUGAGUGCUGGAAUGUGGUUUGGCAGCAUCAUAUUCUUUAUGUACACAGGAGUUGUUGUCUGGCUUCUGGAGUAUCUAGAUGGCAAUGAACAUGUACAUGGUCCCUUUUCACUCAAACAACUGGGGAUUACAAUGUUUUUCUCCAUUUCUGAAGAGAGUUGAGUAAACAUUACGAUUUCCAAGAUCUUUGCAAAAUAUUUAUCCAAGUAUUUCAUUUGCAUAGAGCAGAUAUAUGUUGCACUACAUCUAAAGGAAAUGCAUCAUCGAAAGAUUCCUGCAAGAAAGAUUACUACAUUGAUCUGACUAAACUGCACCUCUAUAAAAUUUAGGAAAGAAAAGGACUCUCCAGGACUCUAUUUAAGUUAAAUGUAUCUUAAAUUUUCCAAAAUAAGAACUUAGAUUUCGCUAAUUAAUAAUUCUUAACAAACGCAAUAUGAAGAAUAAGAAGGGGCAAAUGAACUAAUGCUAGCUGUAUCUGCUAAAAAACGCGUGCCUGUUCUUCAUAAUUGCACUUCACUAAAGAGGAAAUAUAUCUUGAAAUUUGUGCUCUGUUUGCAUCAGUUGAAAAACUGAUGGUAAGACUUGCAUCUAUCAUUCAAAGAAUAGAUAUCACACACCAAUUCCUGAAAUAGCGUGCAUUGCAGCAUCCCAGCUUUCAAAUGUCUUUAGUAUCUUAAUAAUAACUUUACUGUUAUCUGUUAUUUCUGUAGACGAGAAGCUGGAACGCUUUCUAUCAAGAAUUGUUCUACGUGUAUGGAUGUUUGUUCUUCUGGUACUUACAUCAAGUUAUACAGCAAGCUUUGCAUCAAUGCUUACUGUAGAGCAGCUUUCACCGACAGUGACUGAUGUUCAUGAACUCCAGAAAAAGGGAGAAUAUGUAGGAUUCCACAAUGGGUCCUAUAUAGAGGGUCUAUUGCUGGAUAUUGGUUUUGACAGAUCAAAGAUCAGGCCCUAUGAUACACCUGAAGAUCUCUAUGAUGCUCUUUCUAAUGGAAGCAAAAAUGGUGGCAUUGCUGCGCUUGUACUUGAGGUCCCAUACAUCAAACUGUUUCUCGCAAAGUACAACAAAGGUUACACAAUGGUGGGGCCUAUUUAUAAGAGUGCGGGUUUUGCAUUUGUAAGUUCGACUACACUCACUAGGACGUUUAGAUUUUUUAUCAUGAAAAAUUACACACACAAAAAUUGAUCUGCCUUUCAAGUUUGCUAGUCUUGUAAUUGUUAUGCUCAUGGCUUUUCCUUCAAUUCUACAUCCAUGUCAACAAUAAGAUUGCUACUUUAAAAAAACUUGACAUACAUAAUUACGUUUUAAAAACAAAAAAAAUGGAGUGUGGCUAUCUAAUAGCAAAAGGUAAACAACGUAUCUUCGAGUGGACUGAUGCAAUAUUGGGACGAGAAAUUCCUGCAAACUAGCUACGGUGGCAAUGCAAGACCAGUAAAUAAAUAGCAAAGUGAACAAAAGUAUCCAUUUUUAUAAGUUUAACCACCAUAAACGACAGCAUACAAGUAAUAUGCUAGGAGCAACCAUCACGUAACAACAUAGAUCCAUAGGUUUACUAUCAGAAACUGUAAGUGGGCUAAUAUUUGCAACUGAUCAUACUGAGGCUGUGUUCGGCAUUCCAGUGGAUUAUGUUAAAAAAAUCUCGGUUGGUUGGAUUGCUUUUAGAUAUCUGGGAUUUUGGCUAACUGUUUUUCUAAAUCAAAUUGCACAAUUUGCAUUUUGCGAACACAUGAAACAUCAGAUGGGAGGUAAACCAUCAAUAAUACUUCAUCUAACUCUAACAGAUUUCUGAAACGUCAGAUGGGAAGUAAACCAUCAAUAAUACUUCAUCUAACUCUAACAGAUUUCUGAAACAGACCUUUCACUACUUCCUUUUUACAACAACUAUUAAAAUAAGUACUCCCUCCGUCCAACAAAGGAUGUCUCAACUUUGACUAAAUUGAAUGCAUCUAUACACUAAGUCAUGUCUAGAUACAUCCAAAUUUUGACAAACUUGAGACAUCUUUUGUUGAACGGAGGGAGUACAUUAUAAUGUACCACUAACAAUGAACUAGGCCUGCAAGCAAGCCCUAUGGUCAGUUUACUGGAUCUUUGUAGUAUUCGAGCAACUUUUGGUAUGAUUUUCUGAAGGUAUAUUGGACUGCUAAAUAACACCAUCACUGACCAUCCGCCAUAAUGUCAUUUCAGCCAAAAAAUGUUUAGCCAAUUGGAAAUUUUACUUUUCAGGCUUUUAUUGAUUCAGAUAUUACAAUGAAGAAUUCUUAUAUGUUAGCAUGUGCAGCUUUUAACAACUAUCUAUUUUUUAUUAGGUGCUGCCCAAGAAUUCUCCGCUACGUGCUGAAAUAUCAAGGGCAAUACUCAACAUAACAGAGAGCGCUAAAAUUAUCCAAAUCGAAAAGAAAUGGGUUGAUAGUAAUAGCCAUCAAAAUGAUGACAAAACUGAUGGUUCGGACGCUAUCACUUUUGAAAGUUUUGGGGGAUUGUUCCUCCUAACUGGAAUUGUGACAGCAUGUUCCCUUUUCGUAGCCGUGCUGAUGAACGGCUACAAAAAGUAUCAGCAAAAUGGAGGGAGCAAAGGAGAUAACCAAAAUGAAUGUGGACAUGAGAAAAAAGGAGAAGAUGGAGAUUCACAAGGAGAACAAAGAGAUCCAAAUAUCAAUGAUAUGGAGAAACAAGCAACACUGCCAGUGUCCCACAGUUUGAACACAAACGGUGACCAGCUACCAGACAGCAAGGACAACGAUAUAUGCUGUAGAUGCACACAGAAUAACAAGGCAACAUCACUGACUCAUAUUGGUUCACAAAUCAUUCAUAGGGGAGACAAAAGUACGAGGUCAUCAAGUGGCUCAAAGUUAGUACCAACCUGAGCAAAGUUCACCUUUCAAUCUCAACGAUCAACAACCAACUGCCGGGGAAGCCUGGCUGAAGUAACUUGGGAUUCAGCCUCAGGUAUCGCUCACUCGGCCGUUGAAGAGCUAACCAGUCUUAUAGCAUGUGCAUUUCCUGUAAACAAACAAAGUUCACUGUGAACACGGUGUCCUUAAAUACUUUACAUUACAGGUGCAAGUGGAACUUCUUUUAACUAGCUGGAAAAAUGUAGGUGCAUUCUAACGAACACCUUGGCCGCACUGUCCGUCUAUCCCCAUUAGUUCCACCAUACCAAACUGGAGUAGUCCAGUGUCCCGCCACACCCGCGCAGCACAUAUGAGAGCAUAUACAGUAGGGC